GGCUCAGGAUGAACGCUAGCUACAGGCUUAACACAUGCAAGUCGAGGGGCAGCAUGAACUUAGCUUGCUAAGUUUGAUGGCGACCGGCGCACGGGUGAGUAACACGUAUCCAACCUGCCGAUGACUCGGGGAUAGCCUUUCGAAAGAAAAGAUUAAUACCCGAUGGCAUAGUUCUUCCGCAUGGUAGAACUAUUAAAGGAUUUCGGUCAUCGAUGGGGAUGCGUUCCAUUAGGUUGUUGGCGGGGUAACGGCCCACCAAGCCUUCGAUGGAUAGGGGUUCUGAGAGGAAGGUCCCCCACAUUGGAACUGAGACACGGUCCAAACUCCUACGGGAGGCAGCAGUGAGGAAUAUUGGUCAAUGGACGAGAGUCUGAACCAGCCAAGUAGCGUGAAGGAUGACUGCCCUAUGGGUUGUAAACUUCUUUUAUACGGGAAUAAAGUGAGGCACGUGUGCCUUUUUGUAUGUACCGUAUGAAUAAGGAUCGGCUAACUCUGUG
rnacentral:rRNA from 1 species